AGUGAACGCUGGCGGUAGGCCUAGCACAUGCAAGUCGAACGGCAGCACAGGAGAGCUUACUCUCUGGGUGGCGAGUGGCGGACGGGUGAGGAAUACAUCGGAAUCUACUCUGUCGUGGGGGAUAACGUAGGGAAACUUACGCUAAUACCGCAUACGACCUACGGGUGAAAGCAGGGGACCUUCGGGCCUUGCGCGAUUGAAUGAGCCGAUGUCGGAUUAGCUAGUUGGCGGGGUAAAGGCCCACCAAGGCGACGAUCCGUAGCUGGUCUGAGAGGAUGAUCAGCCACACUGGAACUGAGACACGGUCCAGACUCCUACGGGAGGCAGCAGUGGGGAAUAUUGGACAAUGGGCGCAAGCCUGAUCCAGCCAUACCGCGUGGGUGAAGAAGGCCUUCGGGUUGUAAAGCCCUUUUGUUGGGAAAGAAAUCCAGCUGGCUAAUACCCGGUUGGGAUGACGGUACCCAAAGAACAAGCACCGGCUAACUUCGUGCCAGCAGCCGCGGUAA
rnacentral:rRNA from 1 species